GUGGAUUAGAUACCCUGGUAGUCCACGCCCUAAACGAUGAUCACUCGAUGUGUGCGAUAUACAGUACGCGUCUGAGCGAAAGCAUUAAGUGAUCCACCUGGGGAGUACGACCGCAAGGUUGAAACUCAAAGGAAUUGACGGGGGCCCGCACAAGCGGAGGAGCAUGUGGUUUAAUUCGAUGAUACGCGAGGAACCUUACCAGGGCUUGAAAGUUAGUGAAGGAUGUGGAAACAUGUCCGUCAGCAAUGACACGAAACUAGGUGCUGCACGGCUGUCGCCAACU
rnacentral:rRNA from 1 species